UACUGAAUCAAUUAAAAAAUUGAUAACAUAAGGGAAAAUAAUGAUAUUACCUUAUUAUUAGUGUCGUCCAAAACUGGUGCCAGAAGACUCGGUAAGGCCAGAGACACAAACGUUAAUCGUCUUAAUCAGGCGUAAAGGGUUUGUAGGCGGCUUUUAAUUUACUUAUAAAUAUUAUAAAAUAAGUUAAGAAUAAAAGCUAGAAUCAAAUAGAGGAUAUAUCAAAUAAUGCUUAGAGUAGGUCUGAUAUCCUUAGAUACUAAGUAGAAUAUUAAAGGCGAAAGCUUUUUUCCAUAAAUGAUUGACGCUCAGAAACGAAGGUGAGGAUAGGAAAUAGGAUUAGAUACCCAAAAUACCCCUCUCUGUCAACGAUGAAUGGUAAUUAUUAAUAAUAAAUUUAUUAUUAAUGGCAAUGUUAACACGAUAACCAUUCCGCCUUGUGAGUACAACUGCAAAGUUGAAAACAAAAAAAUUAGUCGGUUUCGGAGCAAACGAAGUGAAGCAUGUUAUUUAAUUCGAUAAAUUCCGCAA
rnacentral:rRNA from 1 species